rnacentral:lncRNA from 1 species
AGAGACCGGCCCACUAUGUUGCCCAGGCAGAUCUCGAACUGCUGAGCUCAAGCGAUCCUCCCGCCUCCCCUCCCGAAGUGCUAGGAUUCCAGGUGUGGCCACCGCGCCCACCACUUCCUUGCCUCCUCUCCCAAGCUUGCCCUCCUGUCUCCUGCUUUCCCUUAGACAAACUCAUAUGAUCCUGGGCCCGCGCAGAUAAUCUGGCAUAAUCUCAAAAUCCUUAAUCCCAUCUCUGGGGCCACAAUUCAACCAACUACAAGCUUGAAUUUGGGGAAUGAGCCAUGGAGGUGUUGGGGAGAGCGUGUUCCUGGCAGUGCAAGAGCCAGGAGGCAGGAGACAGCCGUCUGCAGCAGCCCCACUCCCGCCCUCCAGGGGCUGUGCCUUCUCCUACAGCUGGACGGUACUGCUGCCAUCUCGGCUCACUGCAACCUCCCUGCCUGAUUCUCCUGCCUCAGCCUGCCGAGUGCCUGCGAUUGCAGGCGCGCGCCGCCACGCCUGACUGGUUUUCCUAUUUUUUUGGUGGAGAUGGGGUUUCGCUGUGUUGGCGGGGCUGGUCUCCAGCUCCUAACCGCGAGUGAUCCGCCAGCCUCCGCCUCCCGAGGCGCCGGGAUUGCAGACGGGAGUCUCGUUCACUCAGUGCUCAAUGGUGCCCAGGCUGGAGUGCAGUGGCGUGAUCUCGGCUCGCUACAACCUCCACCUCCCACCCGCCUGCCUUGGCCCCCCCAAAGUGCUGAGAUUGCAGCCUCUGCCCGGCCGCCACCCCGUCUGGGAAGUGAGGAGCUUCUCUGCCUGGCCGCCCAUCGUCUGGGAUGUGAGGAGCCCCUCUGCCUGGCUGCCCAGUCUGGAAAGUGAGGAGCGUCUCUGCCCGGCCGCCCAUCGUCUGAGAUGUGGGGAGCACCUCUGCCCUGCCGCCCCGUCUGGGAUGCGAGGAGCGUCUCUGCCCGGCUGCCCCGUCUGAGAAGUGAGGAGCCCCUCUGCCUGCCAACCGCCCCGUCUGGGAAGUGAGGAGCGUCUCCGCCCGGCAGCCACCCCGUCCUGGAGGGAGGUGGGGGUCAGCCCCCACCAGGCCAGCCACCCCGUCAGGGAGGUGAGGGGCGCCUCUGCCCGGCCGCCCCUACUGGGAAGUGAGGAGCCCCCUCUGCCCGGCCACCACCCCGUCUGGGAGGUGUACCCAACAGCUCAUUGAGAACGGGCCAUGAUGACAAUGGCGGUUUUGUGGAAUACAAAGGGGGGAAGGUGGGGAAAAGAUUGAGAAAUCAGAUGGUUGCCGUGUCUGUGUAGAAAGAGGUAGACAUGGGAGACUUUUCAUUUUGUUCUGUACUAAGAAAAAUUCUUCUGCCUUGGGAUCCUGUUGAUCUGUGACCUUACCCCCAACCCUGUGCUCUCUGAAACAUGUGCUGUGUCCACUCAGGGUUAAAUGGAUUAAGGGCGGUGCAAGAUGUGCUUUGUUAAACAGAUGCUUGAAGGCAGCAUGCUCGUUAAGAGUCAUCACCACUCCCUAAUCUCAAGUACCCAGGGACACAAACACUGCAGAAGGCCGCAGGGUCCUCUGCCUAGGAAAACCAGAGACCUUUGUUCACUUGUUUAUCCGCUGACCUUCCCUCCACUAUUGUCCUGUGACCCUGCCAAAUCCCCCUCUGUGAGAAACACCCAAGAAUGAUCAAUAAAAAAUAAUAAUAAAUAAAUAAAUAAAUAAAAAUACAAAAAUUAGCCAGGCUGGGUGCAGUGGCUCACGCCUGUAAUCCCAGCUACUCAGGAGACUGGGGCACAAAAGUCGCUUGAACCUUGGGAGGUGG